UAGAGUUUGAUCCUGGCUCAGGAUGAACGCUAGCGGCGGGCCUAAUACAUGCAAGUCGAGGGGUAUAAGUCUUUCGGGACUUAGAGACCGGCGCACGGGUGCGUAACACGUAUGUAACUUGCCCCUAACAGGAGGAUAGCCUUCCGAAAGGAAGAUUAAUACUCCAUAGUAUAUUAGAGAGGCAUCUUUUUAAUAUUAAAGCUGAGGCGGUUAGGGAUAGGCAUGCGUCCCAUUAGCUAGUUGGUAAGGUAACGGCUUACCAAGGCAACGAUGGGUAGGGGGCCUGAGAGGGUGAUCCCCCACACUGGUACUGAGACACGGACCAGACUCCUACGGGAGGCAGCAGUAAGGAAUAUUGGGCAAUGGACGCGAGUCUGACCCAGCCACGCCGCGUGCAGGAAGACGGCCCUAGAGGUUGUAAACUGCUUUUGUAUGGGAAGAACAAUCCCGACGGGUCGGGAUCUGACGGUACCAUAAGAAUAAGCAUCGGCUAACUCCGUGCCAGCAGCCGCGGUAAUACGGGGGAUGCAAGCGUUAUCCGGAUUCAUUGGGUUUAAAGGGUGCGUAGGCGGGAUGCUAAGUCAGGGGUGAAAUCUCACAGCUUAACUGUGAAACUGCCUUUGAUACUGGUGUCCUUG
rnacentral:rRNA from 1 species